rnacentral:lncRNA from 1 species
AUGCGCUUUGAAAUCCAGACCACACCAGGACCGUUGGUUUGGAAAGGACACAUGAGGGUACUGACUGUCUUGUUUUCAGAGCUCGUUAAAAGUGACAUUUGCUGUACAUUUGGAAUUCCAAAGCCUGUUCAGACAAAUUACGAGCUAAGUCAGUCCCCAACAAAGGCAGUUAGCCUUGUAGAAGUCGGUGAAUUAACCGAUGAAUACUCCUUGGCUGACUAUUUGAUUGGACAUGUGCAGAUGGUAACGUUAAAGCGAUUUUUCUGCUGCAAAGGAUGACAUUGAUGCAGCUUGUGAACUUGCCAUCAGAGGACUGUGUAUCUAUCUUAAUGAGGACUCUAAAGAUCUCAUUCAGGAGUAUGCGGUGAGUAGUUAGAGCUUAACUGAUGGAAUCUGUACUAUGUUCAACAAGCAAAAUAUUAAUACAUCUAAAAAACAUGGUUUCAUCAAAUAUGCACACUGCAACCUAAAUGUAAAAAAUUAUAAUUUUAUCCACUAGACAUGUAGCAUUAAUUGUAAUACAUAUUCAUCUUUUUUUCUGUCUUUAGGACAUGGAAGAAGAUCUUUUACAGUGUGCGAUUGAGAAGACUACCAUGGGCAUCUUCGUGAUAAAGCACACUGCAGACUAUGAAGCCCAUGAUGUAGGCAUUGUGCUAGAGGGUGUAGCAGUGCUUCAGGACAUCGACAGUGUGGAUUUUGCAACUUCAAUGUUUUUGGUCUAAUUUAUGCUCUUAACCUGCAGUACCCCACAAAGUUGCGUUUUACAUAUGAAAUUUAGCAAAAACUCAUCAUGGACUUGGAUGCGGGUGAAUUCUCUAUCAAGGCCCAAAAUUUCAAAUCUGAACUCCACCAGUGAGAUGGACUGAUUUUUGAAUGACUACUGAGACUACAAACAAUCAACCUCGGAAAAUUUCAGCAGCCUUCAUGCAAGACCACCGCAGAGGGUAAACCGUGAUCUUGUUGUUUAGACUGUUCCCCUUUGCCUGCUCUCGUUUCUUUAUCUUUUUUUUUUGUCUGAAUUUGGCCCUUCUUUGGACUGGCUCAGAAGUUGAUUGAUUAGACAGCUGAAUCUAUGAAACAUGGUUGAACUAGCAUAAAUAAGAUACUUUGUUUAUAGUUUAGGUAAGGGUCAGAUACUGUAUUUUCACAUUGUUUUGUAAUGUCUAUAUAUAAUUAUCAUUGAAACUAAAGCGUUUUUCUUGAAAUAACAUUUCCAGGUAGGGCUGCACGAUAUUGGGAAAAAAUGACAUUGCGAUAUUUUAUUUUUCUGCGAUAUAUAUUGCGAUAUGAAAUCUAAUCUAUUUUUUUCUUACAAACAAAAAUUGGGUGAGCACACUUACAUUCUCAUUUUAAAUGAUGUAAACAUCGACACCAUCGUGUCAAUUGAUUAAUAUGUGCAAGGGAGAGAGAGCAAGACAGCGCUCGUGUUGUUUGAAGCUGGUGAGCUUGCGGCCGGGGCUCACUCUCUCUCUCCCUCUCUCUUUCUCUCUUGCAUGCUCUCUCUCGUGCUCUCUCUCUCUCUCUCUCUCUCUCUCUCUCUCUCUCUCUGCCCUGUUAAACUGACAGGACUUAAAAACACAUAUAAAAGAUAAACUUUCACUCUAUGAUGGUUAAGCUGUACAAUUAAUCUGAGAAUCACAUUCGUCAAGGGCCGGGGAGCAGCUGGCCCGUACAGUUAAUGAAUAACGAAUCGACUACAACAGCCUACAUCGCACAUCCUGCGAUGUGACUAUCGUGCAGCCCUAGUUCCAGGUACUGGUGUUCAUGGGUACAGUUUUAAGGUUUCUGAGAGAAAUGAAAUAAAUUAGUGUUACAAUGUUGUAUUAGUUUUUAAACGCACAGUUACAUGCAGUAUAAUGUUACUUAUGUUUGUGAUAUUGUUUAAAAAAAAAAAAGAAAUCUUGUAAAACUUAUGAAGGUUUAAAUAUAUUGUUGAUCUACAUGUUAUGCAUACAAAAUGAACUGUGUUUGUUUUUAUACUAGUCUAAUUAAAACUGAUAUGUAUUUUUAUUAAAUUUAAUAAUCAGAGAAGUUAUUUAUGCUAUGCUUUUGAAAGCACAAUGUUAUUUAGACAUGCCAUUUAAAUUACACAUUGUUCAAAUUGUUAAAUAAAGGAUUUACAAAAGUUUUGUGUUACAUGAAAUGAAACAUGCGACAACAAACCAUUGAAAUGUAUUAAAAUUUAAUUUUAGUGAAGUUAUUAAAAUUAUGUUAAGAUAACUUGAUUUAAUUGCACAGAAUUAACAUGAUUGAAGCAGAUAUCUGAAAUAAAAAAAUAAUGUUAAACUAGCAUAACUGAAUCAUGUUAGUAUAACUUGAAAAGACUAUGUACACAUUACUUUUUGAAAUUGCAUAGGAUUAACACAACCGUAUUAUAAUGAAACCACAUAAAUGCAUAGGAUACUUUGAACUCAAACUGAAUGUGUGGAACCAAUGUCCAUAAUUCGAUUGAGUAAAUCCAACAAAUCUUUUUUUUCAGUGUAUUUACCUGACUGAUUAGUGACUUAGCUCAAUCAUAUGCUACAACAGUGCGUAUAAACAAAUAAUAAAGACAACUUAUGUAUACAUAGCCUGCUACACACGACUCCAAAGUUUCACUCACUCACACACACACACACACACACGCACACACACACGCACACACACACACACACACACACACAGAUAGCUUACAUAUAUGCUGUGUUUUAUUUCUGGUUAUGUAUUUUCUGCAUAUAGAUAUAUUCUGCAUUCUAUAGUAUUGUUCAAAUACCGCAUCAAGGAAAGAAAAAAAUUACUAGAAAUGAAAGAUACAGACAUAAAUUGAAGGCGGCGCGGUUUGGCUGCGCGCGUCUGCCUCUCGCGCUCUAGUCAUUGUUACAAAUUGUCGCACCUAGACGGCGACAUCGAGCUCGAGUCUGUUAAAAAACAACAACAUUUCAUCCUCUUUUCCUUCUGGCCAAAAUGCCUGAGCACGUUUGAGUGACCAUGGAGCGCGUUUGCCGUCAUGUAGUAAAACGUUGACACACCGGAGGAUUUGUCUCGGAGGCAUGAAAGUUUAAA